rnacentral:rRNA from 1 species
UACAGAGGUCUCAAGCGUUGUUCGGAUUCAUUGGGCGUAAAGGGUGCGUAGGCGGCGCGGUAAGUCGGGUGUGAAAUCUCGGGGCUUAACUCCGAAACUGCAUUCGAUACUGCCGUGCUUGAGGACUGGAGAGGAGACUGGAAUUUACGGUGUAGCGGUGAAAUGCGUAGAUAUCGGGAGGAACACCAGUGGCGAAGGGCGGCGAUCUGGGUCGAUACUGACGGCUGAGG